AAAGUCGUAACAAGGUUUCCGUAGGUGAACCUGCGGAAGGAUCAUUAAAGUAUAUUGAAUUCACAUUCAUAUCAACCCACCCUGUGUACCUUAUUACUGUUGCUUCCAUGGGACUUGGCUGCGCCACGUCGGCCUUCGGGCUGGUGAGAUCCCGUGGGAGGAAAACAAAACUCUUUUUCAUACGUGACGUCUGUCUGAACUGUUUAAUAUAAACGUUAAAACUUUCAACAACGGAUCUCUUGGUUCUC
rnacentral:misc_RNA from 1 species